GUAAUGAGCGAAGAACAAAAGACUCAAGGCUUGCCACGUGACAAAAUCGAUAGCAGUAAUUACACACACAGAUCCAAUCAGAGAAGCCCAUCUAAAGUACACGGGAGAGCUGCUAAGUGAUGCUGCUGGGAUUUUGCUCUUCAGCUUCCCGUGUGGGAUUCUAAGAGGCAGGCGUCUCUCUCUCUCUUUCCUUUUCUGCGAAGGCUUGCUUUUGAAGAAAUCUUCUGAAAUUCGUCGAUGCUUUUUUAUCCGUCUCCUAUGAGCCUAGGAGAAGAUUAUGCGCUUACCGAAGUAAAGAACAGACUUCUGGAGUAGAAGAUCGAGUGGAGAGGAAGCCUUGUAGAACAGCCAUGUUGCAAAUCUGCCCAGGCGUCCUUUGCGCCUGGGCAGAGCGAUGCCUGAUGUUUUCAAGAUGGAUCCCCAUUCAUCUUUCGUCUGUUUAGUAGGAUUAAACAGCUUUCCUUUGCUAUAAAUGAGUUACAGAAUUUCCACACUACAUUCAAUUCCUUUUCUACUUUCUCGAAGAAGAAUAGAUCGAAGUGUCAUGAUGCUACUGUUGCCAACUUGCGAAAGACAAAUCUUCUUUCAAUGGCUGCCGAAAAGGGAGAACAGAUUUUUCAUUUGGGAAAUGGCUUAAUUUUCGAACUACUGUUCAUUUGAAUUACUGCAAUUGAAAACUAAGAAGGCAUUAUUCGAAUUUUCAUGAAGUUUAUUCGGAAUAUGGAUUCUAGUAAGUAUUCAUAAUUAGGUGUUGCCAACAUGUAAAUGCAAAAUGUGAAACUCUAAAUUUAAUGGCUUCCAAAAAACGAAGAAUGGACAUUUCAUUGGAAAAAUGGCUUAAUUUUCGAAUUCCAACUAAUUUGAAAGACCAAAAUUGAAAACUAAGAAGAUAUUGAUCGCAUUUUCAUGAAAUAUUUUCCGAAGAUGGGUUUAAGUAAGUAUUAAAAAUUAGGUGUUGCCAGCUUGCGAAAGACAAAUAUGCAACUCUUCAUCCAAUGGUUACCCGAAAAGAAAGAAUGGAUGCUUCAUUUGGAAAAUUGCUCAAUUUUUGAAAUUCUAUUCAUUUGAAGGAUUGCAAUAGAAAACUAAGAAAAUACUAAUCGAAUUUUCAUAAAAAGUUUUCUUUGAAUAUGGAUUUAAGUAACUAUUCAGAACUUGAUUACAUCUUGAUUCAUUCAGAAUGGAAACAAUGGCUUUUAUUACAACAUAUUUCUCAUAAAUAUUUUUUGUCUUAAAUAGUUCAUCGAAUUCCUCGCUCCGAUUUUAAAACUCCGUACGAAGAAUGUGGUGAAGAAACUGGUUUUAUUAGGAAUAAGAUGAAAAUGAAUUAGAACUUUAAUUAAUAAUCUGAUGAAGAGCAUAGCUUUCAGAGUCUAUUUUUCUUCAGAAUCUUUGUAGAAAAUACGAUAUUUUGAAGCUACGAAAAAAUUGGAAUUCUGAAUUGGUUGUAAAGAGAUUCAUACUGAAAUACGAACGCAUCUGUUUAGUUUCAAGACCAGACAUGUUUGACAACAAAAAAAAGAAAGGAAUAUAGGCAAUUUUAUUGGAAGAAAGCCUCUGAUGAUUUAACUUAAAUAAGUUCAACUUGUGAAUAAAUAGAAAUUUGCACAGUUUAACUGAUUGCUUUGGUUAAAGGUUCGUUUUUAUGAGAGAAAAUAAUGAUAAAAACUAUUGAAACUUAUAAAAAAGUUCGACUUCUUUAAAUUUGUUCAUGGACUUCUCUUCAUUGUUUUCAGUUCACACAUUAAAAAAAACUUCGAUCUUGAUUGAAAGCUGUUAUAGUUUUAUCUUUUCAAAUUGUAUGAAGUUAACCAAGAAAAAGUGGAAAAAUGUCAGAAAUCAUUCAGAAAAUUUGUUAUUUAGUGCAGUUGAAGUUAUUUGAAGCGAAUGAAAGCUGGUGUUGUGAUUCGAGCUUUAGAAGAAGCUGAAAUUUCAUUAAGAUACAACUGAUUUCACAAUACUUUUUCAUGCAUCAAACACUCUCGAUAACAGAGAAGAUUCAAUUGUAAAAGAAAUGAUUCAGAAAACCAUGUGUGAUGAUAGAAAUGUUUUCAAGACCCGAACUUUAGCCCCCCCCCCCCAAAAAAAAAGAAGUAAAAGAAAAGUGUUCAAGAACCGAACUUCGGUCCAGAAAAGAAAAUGAGAAAAAGAAAUGUUCAAGACCAAAUUUAAGCCAAAAAAAAAAAAAGGAAGUGAGUUCAAGAACCAAGCUUAAGUUCAAAAAAAAAAAAGAGCUAAAAAACAAAAAUUGAUUCAGAAGCAUUUGAUGAUGAAAAGCAUUUAGGGAAAGAUGGAGAUUUUUCUAACUUUUCACAAAAAAUAUUUCCUCUGAGUCUAAAAGCUGGUAUAUUCUAAACUGGAGUUAGUUUUAAAUAUUGAAUAAAAUAUUAUAGAUUUUUUUUAAAAAGGCAAUCGAAAUGAAUCAUUCGAAGAAAGAAGUGAUUAAUUUGAAAAGAAGAACUGAAACUAUGAAUCAAAUUUUGAUUAAAGAUGGGAUGUGCUAUAUAAAUGCUUUCAAAAUGAAAGAAAAAAAUAAAUUAAAUAAACGAAGGAGAAAAUUGAGAAAGAAUGUACCCCUUAGUCAAAGAAAGAGCAGUCAUUUAUCAGCUCAAAGUGCAUGCAAAAAUGAUCUACAUCUGUUUGGAAUUCCAAUGACAAAUUUUGAAAAUGACUGUAAGGCUAACUACAUAAACUGUUGUGAAUUGUAAAUAUGUCUAAUUUUGUAAACAGUUUUCAUAGGAAAGAAUGUGAACUGAAAAUAAAUCAAACUCGUUUUAUUUAGUAUCACGUUACAUUUCAGCACUUUGCAUUGCUAUCAAUGUUACAUUAAAUGUUCCAGUAGCUGUCAAUUUUUACACAAGAAAUGCAAAAUAUCGUAAAUAUUGCUUUAGGAAGUAUUCUGUUUCAAUGCUUCAAGUUGCUAUCAAUUCAUACGGAAGAACUGCUAAAUUUCAUAAGUAUUGCUUUAGAAUUUGUGCAGUUUAGAUGCUUCAAGUUGUCAAUUUGCACUCACGAAAUGUAAAAUUUCAUAAACAUUGCUUUAGGACUUGUACAGUUUCAGUGUUUCAAGUUGUUAUCAAUUCGCAAGCAAGAAGUGCAAAAUUUCAUAAACAUUGCUUUAGGACUUAUGCAGUUUCAGUGUUUCAAGUUGUUAUCAAUUCGCAAGCAAGAAGUGCAAAAUUUCAUAAACAUUGCUUUAGGACUUGUAUAGUUUCACAUUGUUAUCAAUUCAUACGGAAGAAAUGCAAAAUUUCAUAAGCAUUGCUUUAGAACUUGUAUAGUUUAGAUGUUUCAAGUUGUCCAUUCGCACUCAAGAAAUGCAAAAUUUCAUAAACAUUGCUUUAGUACCUGUACAGUUUCAGUGUUUCAAGCUGUUAUCAAUUCGUACGGACGAAAUGCAAAAUUUCAUAAACAUUGCUUUAGUACCUGUACAGUUUCAGUGUUUCAAGCUGUUAUCAAUUCGUACGGACGAAAUGCAAAAUUUUAUAAACAUCGCUUUCGAACUUGUACAGUUUCACUGUUUAACGUGCCAGAUUUUAAAAACUUUGAACACUGCUAAGAACUUGUGUAUUCCCCCUAAAUGUUGUCCUAAAUGUCUGCUGUAGAGUUUAGAAAUUUCGAGAAGCGUUUCAUCAGAAAGGAGUUGGUGAAUUCAUCAAAUAUUUCGUCGUAAAUUCUGAAGUGGAUUCUCUAUGCUGCAUCUGUAAUAUAGUUGACUUUAAAGAAAAACGGAUUCGGUGACUUCACUAGAAAAGAACUGUGGAUUCUUUUCCUCUGAAAGAAGUUGUAAAGACAGUCAACGUGAGUUCUUCUGCAUAUGGGUGGCAGCAAAAAGACAGAGAAUUCUGGUGUUUAGUUCCUAAAGGAUACAAAAUGUAUCCUAUAAACACGAUUUCACUUGGACUUUCUAUUUCUCCUUCUAUUCCACGAAAUAGAGGAGAAAUUUUAAUGUAAAAAUAUGUAAAUAAAUCGUUUUACUAUUGUCUAAAAAAGUUUGUAAUUAGAAAAGUGUGAGAAGUCGAUAAAAGAAAUGAAAAGUAGAAUAAAAAUAUGUUUUGCUAAUUUUAAAUUAAAUUUACUUCAAAAUUGUCAUAAAUAUGAUACUUGAAGCAAAAAAAGGCUCAUAUACUACUAUAAUAAUUAAUAUUUUGCUUUAGUUCAGUGCUUUAAAGUGUUCUUUCGUGAUUAUUAAUAAAUCAUAGCAGAAGACAAUUUAGAAAAGUGCUAUUCUUUAGAAAGUAGUCCUUAAAUGUAAAAAUAAGUGAAAGAAAAUGAUUUUCUGACAACCACAAAGUUUUCUAUUUAUAGGGAAUUAUU